UUCCCCCAGCCCUCGCAGGAGGAGGGGUCCCCGGAGAGGCCAGGAGGGGGGGCUGUGGGUCUCCAGCAGGGACGGACGGGGACUGAAUGUUAAUCGCAUCCCGACUGAGCGUGUGUGAGAGAGCAGUGAGUGUGCGAGUCCCUCCCGCUCCAGCUCCUCCAAGCCACGGCCGCCGCCGCCGCCGCCACCCUCCGCCCGCAGCCUCCUGGCCACCAGCGCCCAGCUGGGGGUGUGGGCCUGGGUGGGUCCGCCCGGCCCCCAGGGGUCUCCCGUGAGACUGCCAUCUGCCCGCGCAACAUGUGUAGCCUCGUCCUCACCUAGUCCGGGUGCCUGCAACCUUGGGGGACAGACAGGGCAGGUCAGGAUCAAGGAAGAGGAGGGAGACAGCCAGGGACAGGAAAGAGGUCCCUGCCGCUGCUGCUACCACCGCGCCAGCACUACUGCCUCCUGCCACCGCCCCAGGGCCUGCCCCCCCCCCACCGGCUCCGCGAGCCCUCCGCAGAAUCUUCGGGUCCCUGGACACUGGGUUCCGGUUCUGGCCCCUCUGAAAUCCCCCCCACAGAACAGGGUCAUGAAAAGGUAAGGCUGGGGCAGGGGCUGUGGCGGUGGGGGUGGGAAUGUGGACCCCCCCUAAAUGUAGGACAGGGAAAGUUGGCCACAGGUUCAGGCAUGAAGGGGCUUCAGGGGAGGCAAGGGUCCCCCCGGGUGCCUCAGAG
rnacentral:lncRNA from 1 species